UAAGUCACAACUUAUUCCGUGGUCACAAAAUAUCAAAUUAAUUGAUUACAAAAUAUUUAUCAAUACAACUUAAUAAAAUAUAAGUUGCAAUCACAUAUUUUAGAUUACAUUAUUUAUUUAAAAUAAAUUAACUAAUUUAUUGAUCACAACUAGCCAAAUAAUUGGUUACAAACACCCUCAUCCCAUCCUAUCCACUACCACUAACACAACCACCAUCGCUAAUAAAAACACCCUAACAUCACUAGAACCACGGGAACCACCACCACCGUUCGAACAGCCAACAAAAACAAAACAACAAAUCACAGACCAUGGCAACUGCUUGUCCAUAGAUCGAUACAAAUUACAAACCAUGACACAUAACACGGCUGAGUGGUGGGGUCUGUACGAGAUGAUGCAGUACAACGCAACAGUUGUGUUGAGAGGUUGAGUGGUAGAGAUUGGUGCGAGGUGGUUUGGCAAAAAGCGACAAUGGUGCAAGGAAGGAGAGCAACAGUCGCCAUAAGGGGUUGUGGCGCCAUGAGUUGUUGGUAGAGAGAUGGAAAGAGGGAGAAGAGGAUGGAAUGAUUUUAAGGUUUGGAAAGUAAAUGAAUUAGGAUUAUAGGGUGGGUG
rnacentral:lncRNA from 1 species